rnacentral:rRNA from 1 species
UGGGGAAUAUUGCACAAUGGGGGAAACCCUGAUGCAGCGACGCCGCGUGAAGGACGAAGUAUUUCGGUACGUAAACUUCUAUCAGCAGGGAAGAAAAUGACGGUACCUGACCAAGAAGCCCCGGCUAACUACGUGCCAGCAGCCGCGGUAAUACGUAGGGGGCAAGCGUUAUCCGGAUUUACUGGGUGUAAAGGGAGCGUAGACGGCCGUGCAAGUCUGAUGUGAAAACCCGGGGCUCAACCCCGGGACUGCAUUGGAAACUGCAUGGCUGGAGUGUCGGAGAGGCAAGUGGAAUUCCUAGUGUAGCGGUGAAAUGCGUAGAUAUUAGGAGGAACACCAGUGGCGAAGGCGGCUUGCUGGACGACGACUGACGUUGAGGCUCGAAAGCGUGGGGAGCAAACAGG